CAUUUGAAACUGGCAGACUAGAGUACUGUAGAGGGGGGUAGAAUUUCAGGUGUAGCGGUGAAAUGCGUAGAGAUCUGAAGGAAUACCGGUGGCGAAGGCGGCCCCCUGGACAGAUACUGACACUCAGAUGCGAAAGCGUGGGGAGCAAACAGGAUUAGAUACCUUGGUAGUUCACGCCGUAAACGAUGUCUACUUGGAGGUUGUGGCCUUGAGCCGUGGCUUUCGGAGCUAACGCGUUAAGUAGACCGCCUGGGGAGUACGGUCGCAAGAUUAAAACUCAAAUGAAUUGACGGGGGCCCGCACAAGCGGUGGAGCAUGUGGUUUAAUUCGAUGCAACGCGAAGAACCUUACCUACUCUUGACAUCCAGAGAACUUUCCAGAGAUGGAUUGGUGCCUUCGGGAACUCUGAGACAGGUGCUGCAUGGCUGUCGUCAGCUCGUGUUGUGAAAUGUUGGGUUAAGUCCCGCAACGAGCGCAACCCUUAUCCUUGUUUGCCAGCGAGUAAUGUCGGGAACUCCAGGGAGACUGCCGGUGAUAAACCGGAGGAAGGUGGGGACGACGUCAAGUCAUCAUGGCCCUUACGAGUAGGGCUACACACGUGCUACAAUGGCGCAUACAGAGGGCGGCCAACUUGCGAAAGUGAGCGAAUCCCAAAAAGUGCGUCGUAGUCCGGAUUGGAGUCUGCAACUCGACUCCAUGAAGUCGGAAUCGCUAGUAAUCGUGGAUCAGAAUGCCACGGUGAAUACGUUCCCGGGCCUUGUACACACCGCCCGUCACACCAUGGGAGUGGGCUGCAAAAGAAGUAGGUAGUUAACCUUCGGGAACGCGACCACUCGUCAUAAUAACAUA
rnacentral:rRNA from 1 species